AUUAUUUUGUGACUGAGUGGCGAACGGGUGAGUAACGCGUGAGUAACCUGCCUUCAGGAUGGGGACAACAGACGGAAACGACUGCUAAUACCGAAUAAGUUCCAAGAGCCGCAUGGCCCAUGGAAGAAAAGGUGGCCUCUACCUGUAAGCUAUCGCCUGAAGAGGGGUUUGCGUCUGAUUAGCUGGUUGGAGGGGUAACGGCCCACCAAGGCGACGAUCAGUAGCCGGACUGAGAGGUUGACCGGCCACAUUGGGACUGAGAUACGGCCCAGACUCC
rnacentral:rRNA from 1 species